CGGGUGAGUAACACGUAUGCAACCUGCCUGUCACAGCCGGAUAAUCGGGAGAAAUUCCGUCUAAUACGGCAUAAUGCAUCGACGGGACAUCCUGUUGGUGCCAAAGGUUAAUUCCGGUGGCGGAUGGGCAUGCGUCGCAUUAGUUAGUUGGCGGUGUAACGGACCACCAAGACGACGAUGCGUAGGGGUUCUGAGAGGAAGGUCCCCCACACUGGUACUGAGACACGGACCAGACUCCUACGGAAGGCAGCAG
rnacentral:rRNA from 1 species